UCUUAAAGAAGGUGUUGAUACUGUCGCCGAUCGCUCUAAAGUAAUCAUUCGAAGGUCGAUUGAUUACUUUAGAGCGAUCGGCGACAGUAUCAACACCUUCU
rnacentral:pre_miRNA from 1 species